rnacentral:rRNA from 1 species
CCCUUAGAUGUUCUGGGCCGCACGCGUGCUACACUGAGUAAUUCAAUGGGUAAGGGAACGCUAGAGCAUUACCUAAUCUUGAAAUUUGCUCGUGAUGGGGAUCGACGGUUGCAAUUUUCCGUCGUGAACGAGGAAUACCUUGUAGGCGCAUGUCAUCAUCAUGCGCCGAAUACGUCCCUGCCCUUUGUACACACCGCCCGUCGCUCCUACCGAUUGAGUGAUCCGGUGAGGCUCUGGGACCUGGACGGAAAGAGCGGUUCGCUUGUUCUGUUUGGGAAACUUGGUCGAACCUUAUCAUUUAGAGGAAGGAGAAGUCGUAACA